rnacentral:tRNA from 1 species
UAGCUCAGCUUGGUAGAGCACCACGUUCGGGACGUGGGGGUCGUGGGUUCGAAUCCCG